CAGUAGCCGCGGGAAUACGUAGGUCCCGAGCGUUGUCCGGAUUUAUUGGGCGUAAAGCGGGCGCAGACGGUUACUUAAGCAGGAUGUGAAAUCCCCGGGCUCAACCUGGGAACUGCGUUCUGAACUGGGUGACUAGAGUGUGUCAGAGGGAGGUAGAAUUCCACGUGUAGCAGUGAAAUGCGUAGAGAUGUGGAGGAAUACCGAUGGCGAAGGCAGCCUCCUGGGAUAACACUGACGUUCAUGCCCGAAAGCGUGGGUAGCAAACAGGAUUAGAUACCCCAGUAGUCCCUGUCUCUUAUAC
rnacentral:rRNA from 1 species